UGCUGGCUGUCACAGCGACGGUCCCUGCUCUCAGGGACCUGCACGUUAGUUGAGCGGUGAGCUGAGUCCGCACAGGCUGGGUUCUGGCUCUUCCCCGGAUCCCUCUGGACAGGCAGGCGAGAGACGUCUCCAUCCUCGGAAGGCCUGGCCGGCAGCCCAGGGGGAGGGGCUGGGCGGGAGAGGGAGGGGGCGGAGGCUCCUCGCCAGUUAACGGGUCCCCUCUUCCCGGCUCUGCCAGUGGAUCCUCUGCUGCCCCUCUGUCCCAGGCCUGCCGUCAAGGUGUCUGGUCUACAGUGCCGUGGGGCUUACCGGAGGGCGCUGAGGAUGAGCAGAUUUCCAGGCCCCAAGCGCAGCCAUUCCAACCCCGAGAUCUGGAAUGGGCCCAGGGAGUCUGCAUUUUGAACAAUCCCCCAAGCCAGGACACAGUCCUGAGGCAGAAGGCGCCCCAGGAGGGAUCCUGCGGACCCUCCACUGACCCUAAGUGUCCAGGAGAUCUACUAGAAAUCCGAAAAUGACUGCAGUGGCUCACGAUCUAUUUCUAUUGGAUAGCACUGCUCUUGACCUCCCCAAAAGAAUGGGCCCCGGCGCACACAACUCCAUCCUACCUGGCCGUGCUCCUUCACUCUCUCUUUCCGAGCUAAACGGGCCCUAGAGAAGGGGGUCUAUCCAGCCUCUCCAGCCCCAGGCCCCAGACGCACACAGACCCAUCUGGUGAGAACCCAUAGCCUCGAAGUCCGGAUUUUUUCCAAAAAGAUCUGGACUUGACCCAGCCUGCUAUAAAGCUUCAGAAAAAAAAAAAAAAAAAAAAUCAGGGGCACCUGGCUGGCUCAGUCAGAGGAGCACCUGACUCUUGAUCUCAGAGUUGUG